AGAAAAGCAGGGGAUCGCAAGACCUUGCGCUCUUGGAGCGGCCGAUGUCUGAUUAGCUAGUUGGUGAGGUAAAGGCUUACCAAGGCGACGAUCAGUAGCUGGUCUGAGAGGACGACCAGCCACACUGGGACUGAGACACGGCCCAGACUCCUACGGGAGGCAGCAGUGGGGAAUUUUGGACAAUGGGGGAAACCCUGAUCCAGCCAUGCCGCGUGAGUGAAGAAGGCCUUCGGGUUGUAAAGCUCUUUCAGCCGGAACGAAACGGUCACGGCUAAUACCUGUGAUCACUGACGGUACCGGAAGAAGAAGCACCGGCUAACUACGUGCCAGCAGCCGCGGUAAUACGUAGGGUGCAAGCGUUAAUCGGAAUUACUGGGCGUAAAGCGUGCGCAGGCGGUUUUGUAAGCCAGAUGUGAAAUCCCCGGGCUUAACCUGGGAACUGCGUUUGAAACUACAAAGCU
rnacentral:rRNA from 1 species